CCCCUCCCAGGACCGCACCUGGAGAGUUUGGAGUAGUCUACCAGUCUCGGCUAUGGGAGGGAGAGUCAAGCAGAGGCCCACCCAUUCCAUUCCUAGCUUUGGCAGUGGCUACUGAGUGGAAGGCAAACCGCUACAAGU
rfam:Ornithorhynchus anatinus chromosome 6, whole genome shotgun sequence.